GAGGGUAUAGCUCAAGUGGUACAGUGCAUGCCUAACAUGCAUAAGGUCUUGGGUUCAAUCCCCAGUGCCUCCU
rnacentral:tRNA from 1 species